CGCGGCCUAUCAGCUUGUUGGUGAGGUAACGGCUCACCAAGGCUUCGACGGGUAGCUGGUCUGAGAGGACGAUCAGCCACACUGGGACUGAGACACGGCCCAGACUCCUACGGGAGGCAGCAGUGGGGAAUCUUGCACAAUGGGCGAAAGCCUGAUGCAGCAACGCCGCGUGAGGGACGAAGGCUUUCUGAGUUGUAAACCUCUUUCAGCAGGGACGGUUGUGACGGUACCUGCAGAAGAAGCCCCGGCCAACUACGUGCCAGCAGCCGCGGUAAUACGUAGGGGGCAAGCGUUGUCCGGAUUUAUUGGGCGUAAAGAGCUCGUAGGCGGCUUGGCAAGUCGGAUGUGAAACCUCCAGGCUCAACCUGGAGUCGCCAUUCGAUACUGCCAUGGCUAGAGUUUGGUAGGGGACCACGGAAUUCCUGGUGUAGCGGUGAAAUGCGCAGAUAUCAGGAGGAACACCAGCGGCGAAGGCGGUGGUCUGGGCCAAUACUGACGCUGAGGAGCGAAAGCGUGGGGAGCGAACAGGAUUAGAUACCCUGGUAGUCCACGCCGUAAACGUUGGGCACUAGGUGUGGGGACCUAUCGACGGUUUCUGUGCCGCAGCUAACGCAUUAAGUGCCCCGCCUGGGGAGUA
rnacentral:rRNA from 1 species